rnacentral:lncRNA from 1 species
CUGCACUGAUGUCCCACCUGAAUUUGCACCUUCUUCUCUUUCUUCUUCUUGUUCUUCUUCCCUUUCUUAAAGGGUCGAGAACCAGAAGACGAACCUCCCACUAAGUUCACCGACUCCUUGUGGAGUUGGUGAUCCUUCUCAAAGUUCUGAAGCAACCCCAGUAAUCCGUGGUAGUUUACUUCAAGCUUUGUCAUUCUAUAAUGAGUG